rnacentral:rRNA from 1 species
UACGUAGGGGGCAAGCGUUGUCCGGAAUCAUUGGGCGUAAAGAGCGUGUAGGCGGCCCGAUAAGUCCGCUGUGAAAGUCCAGGGCUCAACCCUGGAAUGCCGGUGGAUACUGUCGGGCUCGAAUCCGGAAGAGGUGAGUGGAAUCCUGGUGUAGCGGUGAAAUGCGCAGAUAUCAGGAGGAACACCGAUAGCGAAGGCAGCUCGCUGGGACGGUACUGACGCUGAGGUGCGAAAGCGUGGGGAGCGAACAGG